rnacentral:rRNA from 1 species
UACGUAGGGUGCAAGCGUUAAUCGGAAUUACUGGGCGUAAAGCGUGCGCAGGCGGUUUUGUAAGUCUGUCGUGAAAUCCCCGGGCUCAACCUGGGAAUUGCGAUGGAGACUGCAAGGCUAGAAUUUGGCAGAGGGGGGGUAGAAUUCCACGUGUAGCAGUGAAAUGCGUAGAGAUGUGGAGGAACACCGAUGGCGAAGGCAGCCCCCCUGGGUCAAGAUUGACGCUCAUGCACGAAAGCGUGGGGGAGCAAACAGG